rnacentral:rRNA from 1 species
UACGGAGGGUGCAAGCGUUGUCCGGAAUCACUGGGCGUAAAGGGCGCGUAGGCGGUCCGGUAAGUAGGGGGUGAAAUCCUGCGGCUUAACCGCAGGGCUGCCUUCUAAACUGUCGGGCUCGAGCACGGUAGAGGCAGAUGGAAUUCCCGGUGUAGCGGUGGAAUGCGUAGAGAUCGGGAAGAACAUCAGUGGCGAAGGCGGUCUGCUGGGCCGUUGCUGACGCUGAGGCGCGACAGCGUGGGGGAGCAAACAGG